UGGGGAAUAUUGCACAAUGGGGGGAACCCUGAUGCAGCGACGCCGCGUGGGUGAAGAAGUAUUUCGGUAUGUAAAGCCCUAUCAGCAGGGAAGACAGUGACGGUACCUGACUAAGAAGCCCCGGCUAACUACGUGCCAGCAGCCGCGGUAAUACGUAGGGGGCAAGCGUUAUCCGGAUUUACUGGGUGUAAAGGGAGCGUAGACGGCAGUGCAAGCCUGGAGUGAAAGGAUGGGGCCCAACCCCAUGACUGCUCUGGGAACUGUACGGCUGGAGUGCCGGAGGGGUAAGCGGAAUUCCUAGUGUAGCGGUGAAAUGCGUAGAUAUUAGGAGGAACACCAGUGGCGAAGGCGGCUUACUGGACGGCAACUGACGUUGAGGCUCGAAAGCGUGGGGAGCAAACAGG
rnacentral:rRNA from 1 species